CCUACGGGUGGCAGCAGUGGGGGAUAUUGCACAAUGGGGGGAACCCUGAUGCAGCGACGCCGCGUGGGUGAAGAAGCGCCUCGGCGCGUAAAGCCCUGUCAGCAGGGAAGAAAAUGACGGCACCUGAAGAAGAAGCCCCGGCCAACUACGUGCCAGCAGCCGCGGUAAUACGUAGGGGGCCAGCGUUAUCCGGAUUUACUGGGUGUAAAGGGGGCGCAGACGGCGAUGCAAGCCAGGAGUGAAAGCCCGGGGCCCAACCCCGGGACUGCACUUGAAACUGCGUGGCUGGAGUGCAGUAGGGGUAGGCGGAAUGCGUGGUGUAGCGGUGAAAUGCGUAGAUAUCAGGAAGAACACCGGUGGCGAAGGCGGCCUGCUAGACUGCAACUGACGUUGAGGCCCGAAAGCGUGGGGAGCAAACAGGAUUAGAUACCCUUGUAGUC
rnacentral:rRNA from 1 species